rnacentral:rRNA from 1 species
GGUUAAGCGACCAAGCGUACACGGUGGAUGCCCUGGCAGUCAGAGGCGAUGAAGGACGUGCUAAUCUGCGAUAAGCGCCGGUAAGGUGAUAUGAACCGUUAUAACCGGCGAUUUCCGAAUGGGGAAACCCAGUGUGACUCGUCACACUAUCAUUAACUGAAUCCAUAGGUUAAUGAGGCGAACCGGGGGAACUGAAACAUCUAAGUACCCCGAGGAAAAGAAAUCAACCGAGAUUCCCCCAGUAGCGGCGAGCGAACGGGGAGGAGCCCAGAGCCUGAAUCAGCAUGUGUGUUAGUGGAAGCGUCUGGAAAGGCGCGCGAUACAGGGUGACAGCCCCGUACACAAAAGCGCAUGUGCUGUGAGCUCGAUGAGUAGGGCGGGACACGUGGUAUCCUGUCUGAAUAUGGGGGGACCAUCCUCCAAGGCUAAAUACUCCUGACUGACCGAUAGUGAACCAGUACCGUGAGGGAAAGGCGAAAAGAACCCCGGCGAGGGGAGUGAAACAGAACCUGAAACCGUGUACGUACAAGCAGUGGGAGCACAGGUUUACCUGUGUGACUGCGUACCUUUUGUAUAAUGGGUCAGCGACUUAUAUUCUGUAGCAAGGUUAACCGCAUAGGGGAGCCGAAGGGAAACCGAGUCUUAACCGGGCGUUAAGUUGCAGGGUAUAGACCCGAAACCCGGUGAUCUAGCCAUGGGCAGGUUGAAGGUUGGGUAACACUAACUGGAGGACCGAACCGACUAAUGUUGAAAAAUUAGCGGAUGACCUGUGGCUGGGGGUGAAAGGCCAAUCAAACCGGGAGAUAGCUGGUUCUCCCCGAAAGCUAUUUAGGUAGCGCCUCGUGAAUUCAUCUCCGGGGGUAGAGCACUGUUUCGGCUAGGGGGCCAUCCCGGCUUACCAACCCGAUGCAAACUGCGAAUACCGGAGAAUGUUAUCACGGGAGACACACGGCGGGUGCUAACGUCCGUCGUGAAGAGGGAAACAACCCAGACCGCCAGCUAAGGUCCCAAAGUCAUGGUUAAGUGGGAAACGAUGUGGGAAGGCCCAGACAGCCAGGAUGUUGGCUUAGAAGCAGCCAUCAUUUAAAGAAAGCGUAAUAGCUCACUGGUCGAGUCGGCCUGCGCGGAAGAUGUAACGGGGCUAAACCAUGCACCGAAGCUGCGGCAGCGACGCUUAGGCGUUGUUGGGUAGGGGAGCGUUCUGUAAGCCGUUGAAGGUGGCCUGUGAGGGUUGCUGGAGGUAUCAGAAGUGCGAAUGCUGACAUAAGUAACGAUAAAGCGGGUGAAAAGCCCGCUCGCCGGAAGACCAAGGGUUCCUGUCCAACGUUAAUCGGGGCAGGGUGAGUCGACCCCUAAGGCGAGGCCGAAAGGCGUAGUCGAUGGGAAACGGGUUAAUAUUCCCGUACUUGGUGUUACUGCGAAGGGGGGACGGAGAAGGCUAUGUUGGCCGGGCGACGGUUGUCCCGGUUUAAGCGUGUAGGCUGACUUUCCAGGCAAAUCCGGAGAGUCAAGGCUGAGGCGUGACGACGAGGCACUACGGUGCUGAAGCAACAAAUGCCCUGCUUCCAGGAAAAGCCUCUAAGCAUCAGGUAACAUCAAAUCGUACCCCAAACCGACACAGGUGGUCAGGUAGAGAAUACCAAGGCGCUUGAGAGAACUCGGGUGAAGGAACUAGGCAAAAUGGUGCCGUAACUUCGGGAGAAGGCACGCUGACAUGUAGGUGAAGCGGUUUACCCGUGGAGCUGAAGUCAGUCGAAGAUACCAGCUGGCUGCAACUGUUUAUUAAAAACACAGCACUGUGCAAACACGAAAGUGGACGUAUACGGUGUGACGCCUGCCCGGUGCCGGAAGGUUAAUUGAUGGGGUCAGCGCAAGCGAAGCUCCUGAUCGAAGCCCCGGUAAACGGCGGCCGUAACUAUAACGGUCCUAAGGUAGCGAAAUUCCUUGUCGGGUAAGUUCCGACCUGCACGAAUGGCGUAAUGAUGGCCAGGCUGUCUCCACCCGAGACUCAGUGAAAUUGAACUCGCUGUGAAGAUGCAGUGUACCCGCGGCAAGACGGAAAGACCCCGUGAACCUUUACUAUAGCUUGACACUGAACAUUGAGCCUUGAUGUGUAGGAUAGGUGGGAGGCUUUGAAGCGUGGACGCCAGUCUGCGUGGAGCCGACCUUGAAAUACCACCCUUUAAUGUUUGAUGUUCUAACGUGGACCCGUGAUCCGGGUUGCGGACAGUGUCUGGUGGGUAGUUUGACUGGGGCGGUCUCCUCCUAAAGAGUAACGGAGGAGCACGAAGGUUGGCUAAUCCUGGUCGGACAUCAGGAGGUUAGUGCAAUGGCAUAAGCCAGCUUGACUGCGAGCGUGACGGCGCGAGCAGGUGCGAAAGCAGGUCAUAGUGAUCCGGUGGUUCUGAAUGGAAGGGCCAUCGCUCAACGGAUAAAAGGUACUCCGGGGAUAACAGGCUGAUACCGCCCAAGAGUUCAUAUCGACGGCGGUGUUUGGCACCUCGAUGUCGGCUCAUCACAUCCUGGGGCUGAAGUAGGUCCCAAGGGUAUGGCUGUUCGCCAUUUAAAGUGGUACGCGAGCUGGGUUUAGAACGUCGUGAGACAGUUCGGUCCCUAUCUGCCGUGGGCGCUGGAGAAUUGAGGGGGGCUGCUCCUAGUACGAGAGGACCGGAGUGGACGCAUCACUGGUGUUCGGGUUGUCAUGCCAAUGGCACUGCCCGGUAGCUAAAUGCGGAAGAGAUAAGUGCUGAAAGCAUCUAAGCACGAAACUUGCCCCGAGAUGAGUUCUCCCUGAGACUUUAAGUCUCCUGAAGGAACGUUGAAGACGACGACGUUGAUAGGCCGGGUGUGUAAGCGCAGCGAUGCGUUGAGCUAACCGGCACUAAUGAACCGUGAGGCUUAACCUU